rnacentral:tRNA from 2 species
GUGACUGUGAGCGUAAUUGGCUAACGUUUCUCACUGUGAAUGAGAUGAUAUGGGAUCAUACCCCAUCAGUCACACCA